GGGUAGACGGAAAAAAGCUCGUAGUUGGAUUUGUGGUGUACUUCGGCGGCCCGUCACUAUGUGAUGGAGCUUGCUGAAGUCGCCAUCCUUGGGUGGAUCCUGUGUGGCAUUAAGUUGUCGUGCAGGGGAUGCCCAUCGUUUACUGUGAAAAAAUUAGAGUGUUCAAAGCAGGCUUAUGCCGUUGAAUAUAUUAGCAUGGAAUAAUAGGAUAGGACCUUGGUACUAUUUUGUUGGUUUGCGCACCAAGGUAAUGAUUAAUAGGGACAGUUGGGGGUAUUCGUAUUUCAUUGUCAGAGGUGAAAUUCUUGGAUUUUUGAAAGACGAACUACUGCGAAAGCAUUUACCAAGGAUGUUUUCAUUAAUCAAGAACGAAAGUUAGGGGAUCGAAGAUGAUUAGAUACCAUCGUAGUCUUAACCAUAAAACUAUGCCGACAAGGGAUUGGGUGGAGUUUCGUUAUGUCUCCAUCAGCACCUUAUGAGAAAUCACAAGUCUUUGGGUUCCGGGGGGGAGUAUGGUCGCAAGGCUGAAACUUAAAAGAAAUUGACGGGAAGGGCACCACCAGGGAGUGGAGCCUGCGGCUUAAUUUGGACUCGACACGGGAAAACUUACCAGGUCCAGACAUAGUGAGGAUUGACAGAUUGAGGAGCUCUUUUCUUGAUUCUAUGGGUGGUGUGGCAUGGUCGUUUCUUUAGUUUGGUGGAGUGAU
rnacentral:rRNA from 1 species